GCCUUAGUAACGGCGAGUGAAGCGGCAAUAGCUCAAAUUUGAAAUCUGUCUCUUUUAGAGUCCGAGUUGUAAUUUGUAGAGGAUGUUUCGGCUUACGCCCCGGUUUAAGUUCCUUGGAACAGGACGUCAUAGAGGGUGAGAAUCCCGUUUAUGGCCGGCGGCUUCCGCUAUGUGAAACUCCUUCGACGAGUCGAGUUGUUUGGGAAUGCAGCUCUAAAUGGGAGGUAAAUUUUCUUCUAAAGCUAAAUACUAGCCAGAGACCGAUAGCGCACAAGUAGAGUGAUCGAAAGAUGAAAAGCACUUUGGAAAGAGAGUUAAAAAGUACGUGAAAUUGUUGAAAGGGAAGCGCUUGCGACUAGACUUGUCUUCAGUUGCUCCGCCGGUCCUUCGACCGGUGUAUUCUUCUGUUGUCAGGCCAGCAUUAGUUCGGGUGGUUGGAUAAAGGCUUUGGGAAUGUGACUCUCUUCGGGGAGUGUUAUAGCCCUUUGUGUAAUACAGCCUACCUGGACUAAGGACCGCGCUUCGGCUAGGAUGCUGGCGUAAUGGUCGUAAGCGGCCCGUCUUGAAACACGGACCAAGGAGUCUAACAUCUAUGCGAGUGUUUGGGUGUCAAACCCGUGCGCGUAAUGAAAGUGAACGGAGGUGGGAACCUUUUAGGUGCACCAUCGACCGAUCCUGAUGUCUUCGGAUGGAUUUGAGUAAGAGCAUAGCUGUUGGGACCCGAAAGAUGGUGAACUAUGCCUGAAUAGGGUGAAGCCAGAGGAAACUCUGGUGGAGGCUCGCAGCGGUUCUGACGUGCAAAUCGAUCGUCAAAUUUAGGCAUAGGGGCGAAAGACUAAUCGAACCAUCAACCUAAACCAAUAGUUUUUAUAACUAUUUUGGCUACUAGGUGGUUAAGAGAUGGCUAAAAGUGACCAUCUAGUCCUUCUAUUCGGGGCAACACCGUCAAAUUGCGGGGACUUUCUUAGAGCCUGAACUACCGCAGCUAAAUUGAAAAAUUUAGUAUUAGCACCGGGGUAAUGACCUAGGGGAUGGUAAUAACGUUCAGGAUUGGAUAAUCCGCAGCCAAGUCCUACUUUAUCUUUUAUAGAUAUUAUGGAUGCAGUUCACAGACUAAAUGUCGGUGGGUAGAUUUUUUUUUCUUAGAGUCUGCUUAAGAUAUAGUCGAGUCCCCUACGGAAACGUAGGCGAUAGGUCAAAGUUUCUAGGCGGAUAGGUCCCUAUUUUACUAGGGAUGUUUUAGAAACCCGAAGCCUAUCGAGAGGGGGAGUCUCUCU
rnacentral:rRNA from 1 species